rnacentral:rRNA from 1 species
AUUGAACGCUGGCGGCAUGCCUUACACAUGCAAGUCGAACGGCAGCACGGGAGCAAUCCUGGUGGCGAGUGGCGAACGGGUGAGUAACAUAUCGGAACGUGCCCAGUAGUGGGGAUAGCCCGGCGAAAGCCGGAUUAAUACCGCAUACGACCCAAGGGUGAAAGCGGGGGAUCGCAAGACCUCGCGCUACUGGAGCGGCCGAUAUCAGAUUAGCUAGUUGGUGGGUAAAGCCUACCAAGGCGACGAUCUGUAGCUGGUCUGAGAGGACGACCAGCCACACUGGGACUGAGACACGGCCCAGACUCCUACGGGAGGCAGCAGUGGGGAAUUUUGGACAAUGGGCGCAAGCCUGAUCCAGCCAUGCCGCGUGCGGGAAGAAGGCCUGGUUGUAACG